UUUCUAAGGAUGAUCAAGAAUUGGAACUCUUUUAAUAAAGAACAUUCCUUUUUGAUCUCAUUAGACAAUAAAGGUCUUAAACAGUUUUGUUUAAACCUUUUGCAUAUGACACCACUCUUCAUGAACCCUCAUCUUAAAGAGAGGUUCCUCUUUGAUAAAAAGAGAUACCCACCUUGAUGAGAAAGUUCUAUGAGACAGAAGUGUUCAUAUGUUUAAGUUAUACAAGCAGGCUAGCCGUCUUCGUUUCUCUUUCUUCAGAUGAUGAUCCCAAGCCUUCUGGCGAUCUCUUCAGUAUUAAAGCUCCCUCAUUUUUAAAGGAGGCUUUAAGGCAGAGAGCUCUAAAAAGCUUCUGUGUUAAGAGUAUGCCGGGGAAGGUUUUCCGGUUUAUCCCGGAGGGCUUGUAGCUCAGUUGGUUAGAGCGCGCGCUUGAUAAGCGUGAGGUCGGAGGUUCAAGUCCUCCCAGGCCCACCAAUCACUCUAUCAAUUUCAUAAAGCGCUAGCGAGCUUGCUUAUAGGCAAGAAGUCUAUAAACCGAUAAAGCCUAUAAUUUUGUAAGAAACUUACAUAACUUUCUGGGAAAGGGCCUUAAGUACACCUGUAAAAGGACUGAAGAGUGAUGUGAACACUUAAAAUGAGGUUACUCUUUGAGAGGUCCGUAGAGAAAAGACAUUUGUUUUAGCAAGGUGUUUACAAAGGGCAUUAAGAGAGGAGCUUUACUGUUUGCUUUCAGCAAUUGAGAAUCAAAGCUCUUUAAAGGCAAAGUAUCCCAUUUAAAUUGGUCUUUCCUGUAAGUCUUCUUAUUUUGAGAGUUUGGAAUGGGUUAUGCUAUUUUAGGGGCCGUAGCUCAGCUGGGAGAGCACCUGCUUUGCAAGCAGGGGGUCGUCGGUUCGAUCCCGUCCGGCU
rnacentral:misc_RNA from 1 species